AGUGAACGCUGGCGGUAAGCCUAACACAUGCGAGUCGAACGGCAGCACAGUAAGAGCUUGCUCUUACGGGUGGCGAGUGGCGGACGGGUGAGGAAUACAUCGGAAUCUACUUUUUCGUGGGGGAUAACGUAGGGAAACUUACGCUAAUACCGCAUACGACCUACGGGUGAAAGCAGGGGAUCUUCGGACCUUGCGCGAUUGAAUGAGCCGAUGUCGGAUUAGCUAGUUGGCGGGGUAAAGGCCCACCAAGGCGACGAUCCGUAGCUGGUCUGAGAGGAUGAUCAGCCACACUGGAACUGAGACACGGUCCAGACUCCUACGGGAGGCAGCAGUGGGGAAUAUUGGACAAUGGGCGCAAGCCUGAUCCAGCCAUACCGCGUGGGUGAAGAAGGCCUUCGGGUUGUAAAGCCCUUUUGUUGGGAAAGAAAAGCAGCAGGUUAAUACCCCGCUGUUCUGACGGUACCCAAAGAAUAAGCACCGGCUAACUUCGU
rnacentral:rRNA from 1 species